rnacentral:rRNA from 2 species
AUGCAAGUCGAACGAUGAACCACUUCGGUGGGGAUUAGUGGCGAACGGGUGAGUAACACGUGGGCAAUCUGCCCUGCACUCUGGGACAAGCCCUGGAAACGGGGUCUAAUACCGGAUACUGACCCGCUUGGGCAUCCAAGCGGUUCGAAAGCUCCGGCGGUGCAGGAUGAGCCCGCGGCCUAUCAGCUUGUUGGUGAGGUAAUGGCUCACCAAGGCGACGACGGGUAGCCGGCCUGAGAGGGCGACCGGCCACACUGGGACUGAGACACGGCCCAGACUCCUACGGGAGGCAGCAGUGGGGAAUAUUGCACAAUGGGCGAAAGCCUGAUGCAGCGACGCCGCGUGAGGGAUGACGGCCUUCGGGUUGUAAACCUCUUUCAGCAGGGAAGAAGCGAAAGUGACGGUACCUGCAGAAGAAGCGCCGGCUAACUACGUGCCAGCAGCCGCGGUAAUACGUAGGGCGCGAGCGUUGUCCGGAAUUAUUGGGCGUAAAGAGCUCGUAGGCGGCUUGUCACGUCGGUUGUGAAAGCCCGGGGCUUAACCCCGGGUCUGCAGUCGAUACGGGCAGGCUAGAGUUCGGUAGGGGAGAUCGGAAUUCCUGGUGUAGCGGUGAAAUGCGCAGAUAUCAGGAGGAACACCGGUGGCGAAGGCGGAUCUCUGGGCCGAUACUGACGCUGAGGAGCGAAAGCGUGGGGAGCGA